rnacentral:tmRNA from 1 species
GGGGAUGCUUCGUUCGACGAAGCGAGCACUUUGAAAAUUGCAAGCCGGCGGUGGUAAGAAAGCCGUAAAACAUUACCAAACAUACCUGCUAAUGAAUCAGCAGAAAAGCUUGUUGCUCUCGAUGCCUUAACCGGCGGACGACAACUUGCUCAUGCCUACGCGUAAAUCUUACGCCUCAGCAUGCAUCGGUAGUUCUCUCUCCUGAUGGAGAGGUAUCGGUGUAAACACAGUCAGGACGUCAGAAAUCAACUGGUCGGUUGAUUUCGGAGGAUUCUAGACCAACACUGUCGUGAAUCGUCUUUGUCAAUAAAGACCACGCUUUUAUAGUAUUGACUACGCUUGUAGACAUUUUCGAAUUGUUACUUCGGACUCCGGCUCAAUACCGGACAUCUCCACAC